AGGUUCGGAUCAUCAAAUAUUACUUAAACAGUCUAUGUUCAGUGUUCGUGACUUUCCCCUAAUAAUGUCAUUUCCAAGGUUUAAACAUUUGUCCCUCCUUAGGGAUACGAUGUGCUUUACCAUUACACCCAACAUUUGUUGGUUCUAAUUUCGUAUUUCUAAUCAUUAUACUUUUCAAAUUUUAAAA